UGCGUACUCUAUAGGUCUCCAUCUUGCUUGGUUUUCUUCGACGGAUAGGCAACGUUUUGAACCCCUAAAUAUCUCAUUUUGACCGAUGCAUCAUGUCUCAGAGACCCGUUCAUGAUAUUUCUUAACACGCAAAGAGUCAUUUUUGCCAAGAAUUUAUUUGCAAACGGUUUGUAAUUUGUGUUUUGGAUCCAUGGAAAUCAUAGAAACGGCAGUUUCGGCAGACUGCCAGACUGCGUUCAGAGCGACGACAUUCGGCCCAUCUGAUAAUGUGUCGCUGCAUAGGUAAACGAGACUCCAGGACAUGUAAGCUGAUUUGGUGGGGAACGUAAGCCAAUUAAGUGUCUGGCAAGGCAUGCAUCAUAUCACGACCAUGGGAGAUGCGGGAAGGAUGGCAGCACAGGUAUGCGAUUGCAGGAGUGGUGUGGAACUCUGCAGCCACCAUCAUGCAACUUCAUAUGGCACCAAUCCAGAGGUAGGGCUUGCGCACAGGCUGGUUGCAACUGGUGAUCACUAUGUGUACAAAACGAACGCCCGCAACAUACACACGCCCAACGAUUUUGUUUCAAAAGUGUCCUCAUCUUCAAUCAGGCUGACAGGAACCCAAUCUACCCAACUUCACCCCCAUCAACCUUGGUCACAUGCUUAAGAGGGCAGUAGAAUUACAAGAUUGUUGAAUGCCUCUUGUGAGAACAAUAAGAGGAACACAAGGAUACACAUUCAGGUAAGCUAAAAACUUGUUCAAUUUUAAUUUACGGGCCACUUACUCAUCAUUGUAAAAUUAUAUGUGUUUGGACCUGAAUAAAGUCAACUGAAUAUUCAAUUUUUAAAUUGUUUAGUUUUACCAUAUAAAAUAAUAAUUUUCAGUGAUAUUAAAGUUGUCAAAACAAUUCUUUUGUUUUCUUCAGUCCCGAACUAUGGCAUCACCUUUUUUGUGCAAUGGGCUUACCCAUACAUGUAUUAAAGGGGAUGUUAAUUUGGCCCCAUAUGGGGCCAAAUUCAUCCAGACUCAUCUUCAUGAUAAACACAUGAACAUAUGAACAUAUGUAUGUACAUUUUAUGCGGAUAGUUUCACCUUGUUUGUGGAAUUAAAUAUACAUGUAGUUUUGAUGCAUUUUUUUUCAAUCCCUGAAUUGUGAGUCCAAUUAA